GAAAUGCGAUAAGUAGUGUGAAUUGCAGAAUUCAGUGAAUCAUCGAAUCUUUGAACGCACAUUGCGCCCCUUGGUAUUCCAUGGGGCAUGCCUGUUCGAGCGUCAUUUGUACCCUCAAGCUCUGCUUGGUGUUGGGUGUUUGUCCCCGUCUCCGCGCGUGGACUCGCCCCAAAGUGAUUGGCAGCCGGCGUACUGGUCCCGGAGCGCAGCACAUGUCGCGCAAACUAGUGCCUUGGUACGGCGGCGUCCAUAAGCCCCUCUCUCACGCUCUUGACCUCGGAUCAGGUAGGGAUACCCGCUGAACUUAAGC
rnacentral:misc_RNA from 1 species